GCUGUGAUCGUAUAGUGGUUAGUACUUCACGCUGUGGCCGUGACAACCCAGGUUCGAAUCCUGGUCACAGCA
rfam:Ciona savignyi cont_36609, whole genome shotgun sequence.